GCCGAUGUAGCUCAGUGGUAGAGCAAUGCUUUCGUAAAGCAGAGGUCGUCGGUUCAAUCCCGACCAUCGGCU
rnacentral:tRNA from 1 species